rnacentral:rRNA from 1 species
GAACGGGUGCGUAACACGUGAGCAACCUACCGAAAUGUGGGGGGAUAGCCGGCCUAACGGCCGAGUAAUACCGCAUACGCUUUCCGAGAGGCAUUUCUUGGAAAGGAAACCUACGGGACAUUUCGAGGGGCUCGCGGCCUAUCAGCUAGUUGGCGAGGUAACGGCUCACCAAGGCAACGACGGGUAGCUGGUCUGAGAGGAUGAUCAGCCACACUGGAACUGAGACACGGUCCAG